UGACUACUGGCCGCAUGGUCUGGUGGUGGAAAGAUUUAUCGGCUGAGGAUGGGCCCGCGGCCUAUCAGCUUGUUGGUGGGGUGAUGGCCCACCAAGGCGACGACGGGUAGCCGGCCUGAGAGGGUGACCGGCCACACUGGGACUGAGACACGGCCCAGACUCCUACGGGAGGCAGCAGUGGGGAAUAUUGCGCAAUGGGCGGAAGCCUGACGCAGCGACGCCGCGUGAGGGAUGACGGCCUUCGGGUUGUAAACCUCUUUCAGCAGGGACGAAGCGAAAGUGACGGUACCUGCAGAAGAAGCACCGGCCAACUACGUGCCAGCAGCCGCGGUAAUACGUAGGGUGCAAGCGUUGUCCGGAAUUAUUGGGCGUAAAGAGCUCGUAGGCGGUUUGUCGCGUCGGCUGUGAAA
rnacentral:rRNA from 1 species